GACCCAGCAGCACAUGGUGUGCGCUUGUAGAUUGUACAUCUUCAACUACCCCUUUCGCAAGAGCCCUGGUUCGAUUCCAGGCUGGGUUA